UUUAUAUUUUGGUCUUAUAUAUUCCGAUGAAAGCGGGAAUCCUCCUCCGUAGUCCCAAUCCACGGAACCCCAAACUGCCACUACAAUCGUCGUGCUAAGCCCUCUUUCCCGUGCUUCUUCUUUAGGGAUUCCUCUUCCUCCUCUUCUUCUUCAAAUUCACAGGAUUACAAGAGGUCAAAGCCUAGGAGGGACUGGAUUGCAGAUUUGGUCUCCAACAACGACGACUCUGUCCGGAGCUUAUCGAUUUAUAUUGGAGGGGCGUAGCUCUUGGCUGUUCUCCUUAACCGCACUAUUUCGGGCAUUCCGGUUGCUGAUGCGAGCAGCUUAAUAUUCCUUUCAACAGUAGCAGAUAAAGCUCUUGCAGCGAUUGGGAGGGCAGGUUCUAUCAGAACUUUGAAUUUGCAAGGAUGUUCUUUAAUUACCGAUGGUGGAUUGGCUUCUUUGGCAACAAUGUUUUUGUUAAGGUCUUUGAAAAGUUGGUUCUGGCAUAGUGCGGCCAAAAGUCUGGAGCUAAAUCACAGCCACUCCUUCACCUUACACCUCCAUUGACAAAUCCCUUUACCAUCUCAUUUGUAUGAUGGUGGCCUCGAUUCUCUUAUUGUUCUUGUCAUUUUGAUCUUGUUCCACUGCAUGAAAAGAUGGUAUGUAAAAAGAAUGGUGUCUUGGGUAUUUUUCUGCCGUCACUUUUUGGCAAGCUUGUCGCCUCUUGGUGCUUUCCAACUUUCAACACUGCUUGUUCUGAAAUCAAACUUCAGAAUUAAGAUCGCAUGGUACAAAUCAUCCGAUCUAUGAAAGACCCGAUCCCAACGCUAUGGUUUUUUUCCAGCAUCCUUUUCCGGCAAGCCUGUUGCUGCUCGGUGCUCUCCAAUCUUCAAUGUUGCUUGUUCUGGAAAAAAAAAUUCAGAAUUAAGUUCGCAUGGUACAUAUCAUUUGAACUGUGAAAGUCUGGUCCCAUACGCCGUCACAUCCAUGCAUCUGGAGUAUCGUUAUUAGCUAUCUUCUCAUUUUUUAUUGGGUUUCGGCCUUCUAAUUUUGGUCCUAUAGUUGACCAUGGCUAUAUACAACCCAUUGUUGGCUACAACUCUAGAUUUGAUGCUCCAGUUGCGAGUCACUUCGUCCCCAUCACCAAUUUUACCAUCUCAUCCGCUAUCAAUCAAUAGAUAUGAAGGCAACACUCAAAUUUGCUCCAGUUGCGAGACACUUCUUCCCCAACACCAUUUUGACCAUCUCAUCUGCUAUCAAUCAAUGGAUAUGAAGGCUACACUCAAAUUUCAAACUUUGAUUUCAAAGUUUUUCAUCCUAAGUUUGAGGGAGGAUGUUAAAAUAUUACCCUACUUAGAAUAUUUUCAUAAUAUUCUAGUAUUUAUGUUCACAGUCAAGAGCUGAUCUUUUGACACUUGGAUUGGCUGUCACCAAUAUCCUAACCCAUCUCGUAUGGCUGUCAAUCCAACCAAAGCCGAUAUUUGUGGUGAGGGUUUCCCAUAUGCUUUUCAAUCCUAGUUUCUCUCUCAUUUUAGUUGGUUGCUCAGGUAAGUCCUGAAGGAGUUAAAUGCCAGAGAAUAUGCCCUCAUCUCCCUGAUUCUGUAGUUUCUUAAUUAAUGUGAGAGCUACCUGGCCAACCUAUCUCUUUAUCCUCUGGGAAGUCUAAGCUGCCAUUUCUGCCUUCAAAUACACAGCCACUUGGAAAGAAAGGAAUUGCAAUUGUUGGUGGUGACACAAUUAGGGGUUUUACUACUUCUGGUCAGGUGCUUCUCUCUAAGAUUGCUAAUUUUAAACUCUGGUAAUUCAUCAUUGAUUGAGGAAAGGUAAACUGUGUAGCUGCUUUCUUCCUUUUAUUUUUCAUUCCCUUCUCUCGAAUUGUUAAUUCUAGCUAUCAGAGGAUGCUUGGCAUGAUAGAUGUUGGGUAUUAUAGAUGUUGGGUAUUAGUGUCGUUCAACUGGGUACAGUUUUUAAUUCUCUUAAACAUCUCUUUGAUAUCAAAAUUUUAAACUCUGGUAUAUCGUUCUAUGUACCACAGAUUUGUAGUCUGAAAGUUAGCAAUGUAUAUAUUUGACCGUCCUUUCCCCUUGCUCCAUGUCUGGAGGUGCCUAUAACAGAAUAGCUUUGCGUGGAACAUCAGCUGCAAAACAGAGAUUCAGCUCAACGUCAAAUCCCUAAGCUUGAACAUAGGUUUAAAAUUAUUUUUCUAUUGUGGCUUAUUGCAUGGCUAACUUUACCCCAAAUGUGAUAGAUAUAAAUGGUUUCCUCCUGAAAGGGAAAGGAAAAUUAAGACUCAUAUGCACAUUAAGUUAAUUGUCCCUCCAUUUUGAGGGUUUGUAAUCACCAGCUCUAAUUUUGCUCCACCUAUCUUGUAGUUAGAACAUAAAAUUGUUUGGGCUACUCUUCUUAUCCUCA